UUAAGUUAAUCUAACUACUACUAAUUCAGUGUUUAUCUAACUUUAUCCACUGCGGUGGCUGGUGGAAGAAUUGGUGAAGGUGUUCUAUUUGUGGCUUCAUUUUACCAAUCAUUUGCUUUGGUUUCUGGCCUCGUGGCCUUCCUUUUCAGGCUAUUUGCAGCAGGAAGAACUGAGCAAUGUCCUUAAGACUGACGUUUACAAGACGGGAACCCAAGAGGUCUGUUGAGGGAAAAGGGAAGGGCCCCCGAGCUUUGGCCCCUUCUUGUCUUUGACUCCUCCAACACCCAUCUGUAGCUGGUCCCUUUGUGCUACCUACAAUUCCCAUCUCUCCUCUGUAGACAAUUUCCCCUUCUUGAAAGCAAGCCCAACUUAUAUGGCCCCCACUUCCAGGAAGCCUCUUCUGCUCCUUGUGUCACAGAGGCCGAGGUGGAACCCAGGCACUGGAAGGCAAAAGUCUGGUAGGCACCAGUUGAGGAUCAUAGGGGGCUAAUGCCCAUCAGGGACCCCAGCCAAUGUGCCUGAGCAUCAGGGAAGUGUUGCUCUAGUCUGCCCCCUAGAUAGCCACUCUUAGCCCUUGGUGGUAAUCAGGGAGCCAGAAACCAAGCAGAGGUAUGUCUGAACAUUGGAAACCAAAGUGAGAACUGAUGGGCCUUCCAUGUCCCCAUCAACCUUUAUGGGGCAAGAGUCUCCUUCAUGCUAACUGUCCCCUCUUCCACCUCCACCCCCCACCCCCAAGGCCUACACUUUGGUCUUGGAUGCACCACUCACCUUUCCUCUCUUUGGUUCUGCUAGCACCACCCUCCCCCAUGUACCCAUCAUGGAUUCAUUUAACUGCCCCUUCCAUCCCCAAAUCAAUCCCCCCAAAUGGCCCCAGGCUGUUGGCCAGUUUAUCUGGGAGGAGGACCAGGAUGAGGACUGAUGGCUGUUGCUAAGUCUGUCCAUCAGUCCAUCCAUUCCUCUGUCCGCUUGAUAAAACCCAUGUGAACCCUGUAAAUUCAUAUCCCCAAAUACUCCCAUAGUCUCUCAGUCCACAUACAGCAGUCCUUCACAGAGGAGUACUGACUCGACAUGUACACGCACACGUUCUCUCUAUUCCUGGAGGAUGAAUUCCUCUUGUAGUCUCUCUUACGUAGCAGUCCUCAUAUACGCUCGCUCUCUGCCCACCAGGACUUGGAUAUUUUACAUAUACAUACAUAUAGGAAUCUCAUGGAUUUUCUCCAGAGGCUCCAGUCAUUGCCCUACAGAUUCACUUGUCUUUUUCUCUGUAUUUCUAUGCAUCUGCUUUCUCUCUUCUCUCCUCUUUAUUAUUCUCCCUCUGAAUAUAUCAUAUAUGUGUGUAAACAUACACAUAUGUCCAAUACAGGAGACAAUAAGCAUACAGAGAGCAAAUUAUAGACGGGAUAAAUAAUUAGCCGAGGGAAGAAUUAAGAGGGGACUUAAAAGAAGUCAGGGAGGCCAUUACUUGGAGUGGAGGGAGAGUUCCAGGCACGAAGGGUAUUUAGAUAAAAUGAAGAUCGAAUGUCUUAAACAUGGAGUGUCUUGUUUGAAGGGACAGUCAAGAGGCCACCAUCAUUGUACUGAAAUGGGUCUAGUGGGCCGUAAGGUGUAAGAACACCAUAACACUAAACGUGUACCGUGACACUCCUUCGUAUGUCUCAGAGCUAAGUGGAGCCACCGUGCUGCGCCCGGAGUUAGGAAGACAUGAGUUCAAAUUCGGCCUCAGCCCCUCAUUAGCUGUUGACCUUGGGUAAGUCACUGAAGGCUCUGUGUCUCAGUUUCCUCAACUAUAAAAUGGGAAUAAAAACAUCUACUUCGCGAGGUGGUUGUCGGGAUCAAAUAACACCAAAAGGUAAGAGGGGGCAAGGUGAUGAAGAGCUUUGAACAUCAAACAGCAUUUUGUAUUUGAUCCUGGAGGCAGUAGGGCCCUGCAGGGCAUGAUCUGACCUGCACUUUAGGACAAUCACUUUGGUGGCUGAAUGGAGUCUGAACCCGUGUGGGGAAAAAACUUGAUGGGGUAGACCCACCAGAAAGCUACUGUAAUAGUCUGGGGAUGAGGGGAGGAGGGUCUGCACCGGGGUGGCGGCAAUGUCAGAGGAGAUAAGGGAUUCAGGAGAUAUUGCAAAAGCUUAAACUAACAGAACUUGCCAACAAAUUGGUUCUGGGGGGGGGUGAGCCGUUGUAAGGAAUUGAGGAUGUCUCCUAGAUUUCGAGCCUGAAGGACUUGGGACGAUGGUGUUGCCCUGAACGGUAAGAGGGAGAGUGGAGGAAAGGUUCAAAGGGAAAGCUAAUUAGAUCUGUUUUGGACAUGUUAAAUUUAAGGUAUCUAUGGGGCAGCAGGAUUGAGAGUCAGGCCUAGAGACAAGAGGUCUUGGGUUCAAAUCUGGCCUCAGACACUUCCUAGCUGGGUGACUGAAUAAAUCACAACCCCCAUCACCUAGCCCUUCUAUUCUGCCUUAGAACCAAUACAUAGUAUUGAUUCUAAUAUGGAAGGGAAUGGUUUAAAAAAGGAUGCUGACACAUUGACACAUUUUGGGAUUCGGUAGGGCAUCAGAGUCAGUGUUCUGAUUUAUGCAUUCAUGGUGAUACCAAUUCCUCCCUUAUAGUCCUAAAAGCAAUGUAACAUCAUGGUGUGAAGAUGACCUUGGAUUCUUGAAGGCUACGCCAACAGAACACAAGCUCCAAAAGAACCAGCAUAUUUGGAAAGGCUUCAGCACAUGAAUGCCAGCUAUUGUUUUAAGAACUGAAGAAGGCAAGGAUCCUUGGGUUUAGAAAGAGCUACAGAACAAAAUUACCCCCGGCAGAUGGCAAGAUGCCAAUCAGCAUCCACUGAGGGAGUUCCUUCCAACGGAAGAGAUCAUUGGUCUGGACCAAAAUACCAACAAAAGAAGUGCUUUCAAAGGCCACUGAUACCAAAUUGUUUUAUUUUUAUGCACUUAAAAACAUUAUUCUGAAAAAGACUUCAUCUGACUUCUAAGGGGGUCCAGGAUGCAAAAAAGUGAAGAAUUAUUUUGUACCAGAGAAAGCAGCUGCUGUAGACAACUGACUACAGCAGCGGGACCCGAAUCCAGAGAGGGGCUGGCUACAGCGGCAUAUGGCAGCCUGCAACGAGCAAACGCUGCCAGUCAGAAAGGCUCCCUACUGCAGAAAGCACAGGAAUCCGUCCUCUGCUCCGGAACUUGGCACAUCCCACCACUAUGGCCCUGCUAGCUGCUUUGGGGAUGACUAUUUCAGGAGGCAGGCCUAGCGGUGAUUAUCCACAGGACUGCUGGAUUUAGAAACAGGAAGAGCAGGGCACUGUAUCCGUGGGGGAUACCUUCCAAGACCUACUGUGGAUGGCUGAAACCAAGGAUGCUAAGCACCCUCAAGUCCCUCAACCACCAAUCAUGUGGAAUAUUGUCCAUUUCCAUCACUAGCUAGGCCUUUGGACUUGCCUUUUUGGCUUCUGGGUCAUACCACUGUCAUAUUCUAAGAUCUUUUCACAUCUAAGUCAUUGCUUAAAAUGCCAAACAGCACAGGGCCAAGAGCAUACCUUUGGGGCAUUCUACUAGUUAUGGAGUCAUCCAAAUCCAGUGGCAAGACAGAAGUGAGGAUAACUGGUGAUGGCCGGCAUCUUCCAUGUCUGACCAAGCUCUAAGUACUCUACAGUGCCUGCUUCAGCCACCUUCAUGGCCUUUGGAACAAAUUCUUCUCAUCUGCCUACUCUUCUGGGGGAAGUCUUCCCAUGCUUGGGGUAGACCCCCUCCUAACUCAGAGACAGGUUUAUGGUCCAUGUGAUCCUGGUUUAGCCCAUUUGCAAAGAUGGCUUCCAGGGGGAAUGACCACCGUGCGUGUGACAGCUCUUUGGAGUCACAGAAUAUAUGUGGUCCAAUGUCCUGAUGUGCCGCCAUCUUUUGAUGAGGAUCCCUUUAUGCAAGUCUUUUGUAAAAAUGACCAACAGCACCGAGUCAAAUCCAGAUCAUGGAGCCUCAGUGUGUGCAGAGAACUGUGCUGUGCUCUGACGGAAAUGCAUCAAGAAAAUGAGGUCUGGUGCCUGCAUGAGCCAAGAAUCAGAGUCCAGAACUGGAUUCUCUGCCUAGAGGAACAAGGAACAAGCUCUCUUUGGAAGCAGUCACCCUUGCUAAGGAGCGGAGGCGGAUCUCCCCUGGAUAGCUGAGCACCCAGCUGCUUGGCCAGGGCCCUUCUCCCUUCGACCGCACAGGACAUUGAGACAUUUACAAGAUUUCUGCUCUUAAGAGAAACUGUAGACCAUAAAACAUGGUGCUUCCCAUUUCCCUUCCAGGAAGAACAGAAAUGAGGCACCUUUGCGAGGUUGCUUAAUCCAUUUACUACCCUGAUUUGCCCCAAAUAUUAGCAAUAGCUCAAAUCUACUAUUUUUAAAAAUGAGGAACAUGUCACUCCAGAAGGCCGUACCAGCCCAAGGAUAUCCAUCAGACAUGCCCCAUGCCAUCACUGUCCGAUACCAUUUGCCUCAAACAGCACUCAGCAUGGAUACUGGGAAAACAUAGGGUUUAGAGGUCCAGCCCCAUGUUUUGUAGUUGAGGAAACCAAGGCAUAGAGUGCUACAAUGACUUGUGCAGAGUCAUUUGAGCAACAACAGAAAGGAGAUUUAGACCCAAGAAUUCUGACUUCAAAUCUUGUCCUCUUUUCUCUUUGUAUAUUUUACCAAAAGACCUUCUUCUGUUUUGUCAACAAGGUCUUAUUUAGGGCUCUUUUUUAAGAGUGAACAAGAAGGCACAAAAAGUCAAUAAAGGAAGGAGAAAGGAGGGAAGAAAAGUGAAGACUGAGGAAGCACUUUGUGCCAGUAUGGAGGCAAGAAACUCUUGCUCGUGGUGGCCAAGCAAAGACUGAAUGCCACUUAAUGGCCAGGUUGUAGAAAAGAGAUUCUGAAUUUUUCAUGUGUCCUGGAUACUGUCCACCUCUGGCAUGGGCUGGCAGGCUGAGGAAGCCUAUAGACUCAUUCUUGGUACCAUGUUUUAAAAACAAAGCUCUGAAAGCAGUGAUGUGGCUCAAUGGAUAGAAAUUCAGUUCUAGAGAUGAAAGGUCCUGGGUUCAAAUCUGACCUCAGACACUUCCUAGCUGUGUGACCCUGGGUAAGUCAUUUAACCCCCCACUGUUUAGCCCUUACAACUCUUCUGCCAACACACCAAUACACAGUAUUAAUUCUAAUAUAUAAGGUGAGGGGUUUAAAUAAAAUAAAACUCUAAGAUUAUACAAGCAGCCAAAGAUUAGUAAAACACCAAAGGAAUCAUUGCUUUUUUCUCCAUCUAAAUUGGCCAGCCUGCCUGGAAACCUAUCCACAGUGGAUCCUCAGUAAAAAGCUCUUGUUGUAGGGGGAAAUUUUUUUCAGGUGUGAGUGGAACUAGACUGUCUCUUAGACCUCUUCCAAGUCUGAAAUUCUGUUAUUCUAUUACUCUAAAAAAAGAUUCAGUGAAAAACACUACAGGAAAUAGAUUACAAUUAGAUGUUGAAUACAUUUAUUAGAUCAGGUAAUAAGGUACAGCGGAAACAGCACAGAGGACAUGAGGCUAAAUCCAAGCUCUGCUCUUCACUCACUACCUAUGUGACCUAGGAAAAAAUAAUUUCUUCUCUCUGGGCCUCAGUUUCUCCAAUGGUGCAAUGAAGGACUGGGACUAGAUGCUCUUUAAAGGAUCCUUCCAACUCUAAAUCCUAUUAUUUUAAGAUCAUGUCUGAAGCCUCUUAGUACUUUCCUUCCUUCCUUCCUUCCUUCCUUCCUUCCUUCCUUCCUUCCUUCCUUCCUUCCUUCCUUCCUUCCUUCCUUCCUUCCUUCCUUCCUUCCUUCCUUCCUUCCCACCUCCCUACUUCCCUUCCUCCCUCCCUCCCUUUCCUUCUAUCUUAGUGAUUCUAAGGCAGAAGAGCAGUUAAGGCUAGGCAAUGGAAGUGAAGCAACUUGCUCAGGAUCCCACAGCUAAGAAGUGUCUGAGGCCAGAUUCAAACCCGGGAUCUCCUAUCUCUAGGUUUGGUUCUCAAGCCACCUAGUUGCUCCCAUGGGUCUUUUUCAAGUUGAAAGGGUCAGAACCAUGCAACCAGAGCCAAAGUGAUCCUGAAUUUGAAAUUCAGAAAAAAUCCAAAGAAGAGCAGCAUCCGUUGCAGACUCUCGCCUUUCCAAUAACAUGUUCGCUUAGUCACUAAGAGCACCUCUUUAAACUUUUCAAGAUAAACCUUCUAUAAGUUGGGAAGUCCUUGGGAGCAUGCCUGCAUCUUGCCUUCUGCUUACUAGAAAAGACAUGUUCACCAGACUUCUCAGAGCCCCAAGUUUUGGAAAACGCAUCCACGCAAGGGCUAACAACCUCACUUUGUUUUUUGAACUUAAAAAAGAAUUUUCCUAGAGGCAACUGGGUGGUUAAGUGUCUAGAGAGCCAGGCCUAGAGACAGGAGGUUCUGGGUUCCAAUUUGACCUCAACGCUUGCUGGGUGACCCUGAGCAAGUCACUUAACCCCCACUGCAUAGUCCUUACUGUGUUUCUGCCUUAUUAGCAUUUACUCUAAGACAGAUGGUACGGGUUUAAAAAAUAAACAUUUUCCUAAGGAGAGAAAGGACACAGGUGGUGUGGUUCCAAGCAAGCCGGUCGCCAUGCUUUAAAUUGUUAAAACUUUAAAUCAUUAAAGUUUCUCUGAGCUUCCCCCAACUUGGACUCCAGGCUGAAAUACAGCACUUAGUUGCUUAGUUAACUCCAUACUAUCUCAAGUGAAGGGGAUCAGAGGCCCUGAGUUCAAAUUGGGGCAGGAAGGCGAAUGGGCAAGUAGCAGUGUUCAUUUUGUUCCAAUGGCUGUACUUCAUCAAACGUGCCAGGCAGCUAAGUACAAAGCACCUGGGCUUAAAAGCAGUAAGGUGAAAAUAAGAAAGGGGGGCCAGGUAACGUCUCUAACUCAGCCCCAACGAAGGAGGGGGUCAGGAAAAUAUGAGGGCAGAGGUAUAGGAAUAGAAGUGUAAGAACUACUGCCAUAUUUCUUUCUGUCAUUUGAAAACGCCCUAUAUUGAUAUAUCAUCUUUUUUUAAUACGAUGUCCAAAUCCUUUCUUUCCAGCCCUCCUGAGGGGUGGGUAGAGAAGGGGGAGCAGAGCAGGCCUAGCCAGGAAAAUGCUUUCAAAUUCCACAUGGGAGGGGAAUACAGGAGGGCACGGUAUCUUUGGAGCCAUUGUUCCAAGGCCUACCACAGAUGGCCAAAACUAUGGAUAUAAGUGACCCCCACAUAUAUGGGCACUCUCUCCCCACUCCUGCUCCUUGGCUCGGUGCUCAUGGCCUCCCUCCCCACCAAAAAAAAAACUGAACAAAAGUGAAAAUAGAAGGAAAAGACACUUCCGGGCAGACCUCCAGGGCUCUGGUUGACCAUGGAUAACUGAAACCAAGAAAAACAAAACCUUGGAGAAGGGAGCCCUACUGUACUGUGGAGUAGUGAGUUCUACUGCGACAGUCCAGUGGUGCCAAGAAAUGACUCUUGGCCCAUGAGUCAACUAUUUCACUUUAAUACAUUUUAGAGGUUUAAUUAAAGCUAGGGAAAGACAUAUGAAACUAUUGGGCUGACUGUCUUGAGGAACUGAAGCCAGGAGAAGGGACCUGAUCAAUGGUUUGGAGACAAUGGAAAGAGCAUUGGACUUGGGAUCCAAAGACCAAAGUUUCGUACCCAGUCCUGCCACUUACUAAAUGCUGUGACUUUGGAUCAGUCUCCCCAUUUGUUUUCUCCUCUGUAAGACAAGGAUGUUGGUCUAGAUGAUCCCUGAGAUCCCAUGAUUUACCCUAAUCAGAAUAAAAAUUGCUUGAGGGCAAGUACUGUGGGUUAUUCUUUUUUUGUCACUGCCAACAGAGAUUGUAGUAGUAGCCAGAGCCUUUACAUUCAGUAAGAACUUAAUGUUUGUUGAAUUUUAAUUCUAAAGCUGGAAGAGAAAGCAAGCAAGUGCUGCUAUACCUGAGAUGCAGAAAGCACUUGGAAAGGAGGUAGAUUGCAAAGUCAACUCUCCUCUUGUCUAGGCGUUUUGUUUGCCCCUGUGAGAAAAUGGAGGCACCUAGGCGAUGCAGUGGAUGGUUCGAAUCUGACCCCAGAAAUUUACUAGUUGUGUGACCCUAACCAAGUCAUUAAAUCACAUCUGCCUCAGUUUCCUCAUCUAUAAGAUGAGCUAGUGAAGGAAAUGGCAAACCACUCCAGUAUCUCUGCCAUGAAAACCCCAAAUAAAGUCACCAAGAAUCUGAAAUGACUGAACAACAAUUAGAGUGUGAGCCCCUGAUGGCCAGGGACCGAUUUCCUUUUCUAUUUGUAUCUCCAGAGCUUACCAUAUAGUAAGUAGUAAAUAAAUAACUUUCUCAUUCAUUCAUAUGUUCUAUGGAAUACUACCAGUAAGUUGUGCCCUACCUAACCCUUUCUCUGUGGCCCUUCAUGGAAAGCACUAUAAAAUGAGGAAGACAAUCUUUGCACUGCCUUCCUCAUCAUCAGCCUUGGUUUAUUCUGAGCUUUAGGGUUCCUAAUGGUAUUCUUAUAGGCCUACAUUAUGCUUCUGCAUUAAUUUUUCACCAGGCCUUUCGUCUGUCUUCUCCACGGCUUUCUCUCUCUCUCUUUCCAAUAAACAAAACCUAAAAACCUCUUACUUUCCAUCUUAAAAUCAAUACUGUGUAUUAGUUCCAAGACAGAAGAGUGGUACGGGUGAGGCAAUGGGGGUGAAGUGACUUACCCAGGGUCACAUGUCUAGGAAGUGUCUGAGGCCAGAUUUGAACCAGGGACCCCCUUCUCCAGGCCUAGUGCUCUAUUCACUGAACCACCUAGAUGCCCCCUCCAUGUCUUUUUAAUCCUUUAAUCCUAAUCUAGUUGGCUCCAAAAACAAGAGAGGAGAAAGUAUCUCCUUUGGAUUCUUGGGAAAUGUAGGGGACCAUAGAUGGGAGACACUGCAGGUAAUGCCAAAUAUUUUCUGACAUGUUGGCCAAUUUUGCUAAAGUUUUUUCUCCCUUUUUCUUUAUUAAAAGGGAUGGCUCUCUGGAAAGGGGGUGGAAAGAGCCACAUACACUGGGAAAUGUAAUUGAUGCAAAACCAAAAGAGAUCAAUAAAAUUUAUUUUUAAAAAACUAUUUGGUCAAUGAAUUCCCUCUGUAUAAGCCUUUGCAGAUGGCCCCUCCCUUUCAUUCCCUCCCUGGACUUGUUCUCUUACUAUCUUUGGAAUCUAACUCUUGUGACGCUUAUGGACUAUGGAAUUUUAGGCUGUUGAUGAUGAUAAUCAUAAUAGAUACCAUUUAUAUAGAGUUUACUAUGCUUGGGGCAUUGUGCUUUACAUUCAUUAUCUCAUUUGAUCCUCACAAAACCCCUGGAAGGUAGGUGCCAUUAUUAUUAUUAUUAUUAUUAUUAUUUUAUUAUUAUUAUUAUCAUUUUACAGAUGAGAAAAGUGAGGCAAACUGAGGCUAAAUGAUCCACUCACAGUUAUGCAGUUACUAAGUGUUUGAGAUGGAAUUUGAACUCGGAUCUUCCUAACUCCAGGCUUGAAGUUUUAGCCACUGGGCUGUCUGGGGCCUAGAAGCUAUCUACCACUUUUAUGAACCCUUUGAAAUGCACUUCCCCCAAGUCUAGAGUGAAUGUCAGACUAUGCCCAGUUUUCUUCUUGUUCUUUCAUGAAUUCUAAGACUAGUUAUUUCCCCUCAGUGUUUGCAACAUUUUUAUUUCAGCAAAUCUCAUCCUCCUCCAAUGACUCCUCCACCUUUCGAAGGCUCAAAUGUUCAGUAAAGCAUGCCUAGAACUGAGUAGCCACUUUGCUUUUCCAGAGAGUUCCAGCAGUUUCAACCAUCACUACUACAUCAUGCUUCCAUGUGGGGCUUUUGAUCUGUUUCUCAAAGUCCUUCCUCCUCCUUCCUUCUGCCCAUGAGUUCUUUAGUAUUUUGUGAUCACUUGGCUUUUUAUUUCCCCCUCUACUAAUGUUCCCUCAAAUGUUACCAUGUCUCUUUUUGCAGGAUUCCCUGAUGAGUGUGUUUUUUAACCCAGAAAAAACAGUGCCAUCAACUCCUUUUUUACUUACUGUUUUCUUCUAAAGUAAGGUCUACCCUUUCAGAGUCAUUUUGUAGUGGUUCCUUCAAGUCACAGUGAUACCUGGAUUUGUCUCCUUUUAUUAGGGAACAUAGGACCAUCUUUUUAAAGCUGAAGAGGAUCUUCUAGUCCAACUCACCCAUUUUGCAGAAAAGGAAACUGAGUCUAUAAUUCUCUGAUAAAAAUAAUUAAUUGGAGCUGGGUUUAGAGACGGCAUCCUCAGUGAAUUAUAUCUCUUACAUGGGGGGGUGUAUAUUUUUUCAUAGGCUAUCAGUGUGGAAAGACACAAGCAAAAAGUAGGGUCCUCUUCGAAUCACUUAGAUAUGCUUAAAUUCAAGUUAGGUCACUCCCACAAUUCCAGGCUAAUCAGCUAAUGCCAUAGUGCCCCCAGACAGUCCCCUAAGACUGCUGGUUGUAGGGGAGGUGCAGAUCCGUUUUGGUAGAGAGAUUCCACUUACUGGGAGUUCCCUCUACCAGUGAAACCACAGGUCUCCUCUAUCUCUGUCUCAGCCUCAAUAAAACUCUUUAAGACUGCAUAAAAGUUGCAGGAGAGUUGCCCAUCUACUUUGGUGGUUCUUCAUUGGCCAUUCAAGAGUUUUCUCACUAGGAAGGUCCCUACAUGGAAAUUACAGGUCCCAAAAUGGAGCUACGGCCCACAAAAGGAAAGCGACUCAGCCCCAUAGUACACGGGCCAUCCAUCCAUCUAAGGGGUGGCCGGGAUCUGGAGGCACUCUUCCUACUACACCACACUGCCGCUGUUUGCUUCAGGGAGGAGAACUGGACAGGACAGAACAGGACCCGAUAGGAGGAAGUUCACUGGAAGUCCCAAGGCGUGGCGGGGAGACCCAAAGGCAGAGAGACACACACAAAGCAAAGGGGAGCCCCGGGGGCUUGUUUGGGGCGGUGGAAAAGUGGAGGGAAUGGCUUGGGAGAAGGGCUACAAAGUGGGAAGAAAGAGGAUUGGGGAGGAAGCCUGGAGGGUGGAUGUUGUUGUGCUCCCGAGGGGUGGGAGAGGGAUACCCCCGAGCCCGGAAGUGACUCCAAAGCUCCAAUGGCCGGGCUAAAGGGGCGCGCCUUACCUUAG